rnacentral:rRNA from 1 species
UUUUUGGACGUCAAGUCAAGGUGCAGCUUAUGGAGGGGGUUCUUUGGGUUACAAUUUUUGUUGGAAAUACGAAUUAGGAUCAGGAUUGGUUCCUUGGAAGGUGGAUUUGUAAGUAAUUAUUUUUAUAGGAUUGAUAAAUGAAGGAUGGAAUAACAUGUGUACAUAUUGCCCGUCGCUCUCGUUAUUUUUGAGAUAAGUCGUAACAUAGUUGAUGAACUGGAAAGUGUAUCUUUUUGA